CCUUAGUAGAGCGGCGCACGGGUGCGUAACCCGUGGAUAAUCUGCCUGGAUGCCUGGGAUAACCAGUCGAAAGAUUGGCUAAUACCGGAUAAGCCCACGGUUUCUUCGGAGACUGAGGGAAAAGGUGGCCUCUGUAUACAAGCUAUCACAACCAGAUGAGUCCGCGGCCCAUCAGCUAGUUGGCGGGGUAAUGGCCCACCAAGGCAACGACGGGUAGCUGGUCUGAGAGGACGAUCAGCCACACUGGAACUGAGACACGGUCCAGACUCCUACGGGAGGCAGCAGUGGGGAAUUUUGCGCAAUGGGCGAAAGCCUGACGCAGCAACGCCGCGUGUGUGAUGAAGGUCUUUGGAUUGUAAAGCACUUUCGACCGGGACGAAACCGUAAAGCCUAAUACGCUUUGCCUUGACGGUACCGGGAGAAGAAGCACCGGCUAACUCUGUGCCAGCAGCCGCGGUAAUACAGAGGGUGCAAGCGUUGUUCGGAAUUAUUGGGCGUAAAGCGCGUGUAGGCGGCUUUGCAAGUCGGGUGUGAAAGCCCUCAGCUCAACUGAGGAAGUGCGCCCGAAACUGCAGAGCUUGAGUGCCGGAGAGGGUGGCGGAAUUCCCCAAGUAGAGGUGAAAUUCGUAGAUAUGGGGAGGAACACCGGUGGCGAAGGCGGCCACCUGGACGGUAACUGACGCUGAGACGCGAAAGCGUGGGUAGCAAAACAGGAUUAGAUACCCUGGUAGUCCACGCCGUAAACGAUGAGAACUAGGUGUCGUGGGAGUUGACCCCCGCGGUGCCGUAGCUAACGCCAUAAGUUCUCCGCCCUGGGAAGUCCGGUCGCAAGACUAAAACUCAAAGGAAUUGAC
rnacentral:rRNA from 1 species